rnacentral:rRNA from 1 species
GCAUAUCAAUAAGCGGAGGAAAAGAAACUAACUAGGAUUCCCUUAGUAACGGCGAGUGAACCGGGAUGAGCUCAAAUUUAAAAUCUGGCGUCUUUCAGGCGUCCGAGUUGUAAUCUAUAGAGGCGUUUUCCGCGCCGGACCGCGUCCAAGUCUCUUGGAAUAGAGUAUCAAAGAGGGUGACAAUCCCGUACUUGACGCGACAACCGGUGCUCUGUGAUACGUUCUCAAUGAGUCGAGUUGUUUGGGAAUGCAGCUCUAAAUGGGUGGUAAAUUCCAUCUAAGGCUAAAUAUUGGCGAGAGACCGAUAGCGAACAAGUACCGUGAGGGAAAGAUGAAAAGCACUUUGGAAAGAGAGUUAAACAGCACGUGAAAUUGUUAAAAGGGGAACGAUUGAAGUCAGUCGUGUGAAAGGUAUUCAGCCGUCUCUGGCGGUGUAUUUGCCUUUCACGGGUCAACAUCAGUUUGAUCCGGUAGAAAAAGGCGGGAGGAAGGUGGCACCCUCGGGUGUGUUAUAGCCUCCUGUCAUAUGUGCCGGACCAGACUGAGGAACGCAGCUUGCCGCAAGGCCGGGGUUCGCCCACGUACAAGCUUAGGAUGUUGACAUAAUGGCUUUAAACGACCCGUCUUGAAACACGGACC